rnacentral:rRNA from 1 species
GAUGAACGCUAGCGGCAGGCUUAACACAUGCAAGUCGAGGGGCAUCGCGGGGUAGCAAUACUCUGGCGGCGACCGGCGAAAGGGUGAGUAACGCGUGAGCAACAUGCCCGGUACUGGGGGAUAGUCAUUGGAAACGAUGCGUAAUACCCCGUAACACAUGAGGUGGCAUCGCCUUAUGUUGAGAGAUUUAUCGAUACCGGAUUGGCUCGCGUACCAUUAGCUAGUUGGCGGGGUAACGGCCCACCAAGGCGACGAUGGUUAGGGGUUCUGAGAGGAAGGUCCCCCACAUUGGAACUGAGACACGGUCCAGACUCC